rnacentral:lncRNA from 1 species
AUGGGAAGUGAAUCUGUCAUUCUUGAAAAUGUUAAAGAUCAGCAAGUGCAGCGUUACUGUAGAGCUGACCUUCCUCCUUCAUUACUGACUGCCAGAACUGCAAUAACUUCAAGCGUUUUUGGUGGAUAUAGAUUUUUGCUGCAAGGAAAUAACAGUAAGUGCUUAUGUAUAUGCAAUGACUUUUUAAAAACUACAACAUCUUAAUGUUUGGAACUCCAUUAUGCUUAAAUGCAUGAGAAAAGUUAAUACGAUUAUUUAAAUUUACCCUAUCAUUUUGCAAUUGUGAUAACCUGUAUUCACUCUAAUGAUAUUUUCCAUAGAGUUUUAAUAGAUUAAUGCUAAGUCAUUUUAAUAAUGAAGAAAUCUAGACCCAUAGCCAAGUCUUUAUUUUGUCCAGUGUGUUUAUGUCAGUCUUGCUAUGGAAAUUUCCCUUAUGCAUUUAUGACAUUGAUUAUCACUGAUGAGCUGAUUUGCAGAGUCUGUUUUAUUUGACAAUUGAUUCUUAAUUUUUGGAUUGUGGGACAUUUAUUUUGCAUUAAUAACUUCUUUUGGAGCAAAUCACAUUCAUCUCUUGUAAUGAUGCAUUUUAAAUUGCUUUCAUACAUAUGUGGGUCAUUAACUCUUAUAUUCAUCUCACGAAAGGUAAGAGAGGGACCUAUUUCUUCUGGUUAGAGUAAAUAGUAAAUGCAAAAUGGAGCAACUUCUCAGUUCUUCUGCAUAAUGUUUUUCAUAAUGGUUUAAAUAUAUGCGUUUAUUUCAAAUGCAAGCAUAAGUAACUUUUGUUUUACCUGCCAGCCUCGGUUAUCUUGUGCCUUCCUUUACAUUAAUGUAAUUACUUGGGAAUUAUCUCUAUUCCAAAUUGAAUAGGGAAAUAUCAGCUUGCUGCAGGCUCUGUGCUCAUCCAGGAAUUAAAGUAAUUUAAGAUACGAGGUUUUAAAUGGAAACUUUAUUUGUAAGGAGAAGACGUCAUUCACUGCCAGAGGUAUCCAUCUCACUGAAACUUCCAGAGAAAAAAAUGCACUCCAGAUUUUGAAUUUUUGAUUUUCUAAAUAGUUCAAGUCCUGGUAUCUUUCUGCUUAGAUGAAUCUCUAGUGUGUUUUGUGACCUGCACCAUUUCUUGGCUUCUCUUCCUCACUGAUCCCAUUUCCACGGCAUCUUCCUCACUUACCAUUGAGCUGUUUGGCAACACCUCUGUUGAUGUAUGCUCCUUGGGCAAUUACGGGUCUUCCUUGAGUACAAGACAUGAAAUGUUAUUUUAUAGAGUAGAUAAUGAUUAUACUUAUAAAAUUCCUGCAAGGCUGAUUCAGAGAUAUGCUGCACUGUAAAAUAAAUUAUUUUCUAUUUUGGAGAUUCCA